rnacentral:rRNA from 1 species
UAAGACGAAGGUGGCAAGCGUUGUUCGGUGUUACUGGGCUUAAAGCGUGUGUAGGCGGAAGCGUAAGCGUCAUGUGAAAUCCCUCGGCUUAACCGAGGAAUUGCUUGGCGAACUGCGUUUCUUGAGGCAGGUAGGGGUCAGUGGAACUGUUGGUGGAGCGGUGGAAUGCGUAGAUAUCAACAGGAACGCCAGUGGAGAAGUCGACUGACUGGGCCUGUCCUGACGCUGAGACACGAAAGCGUGGGGAGCGAACGGGAUUAGAUACCCCGGUAGUCCACGCUGUAAACGAUGUCAACUAGGUUGCGGAGGUUCUGACGCCGCCGCAGCCGAAGCAAAAGUGUUAAGUUGACCGCCUGGGGAGUACGGUCGCAAGGCUA